GGGCAUGUAGUUAAGUGGUAUAACGCUCGAUUCGCAGUCGAGAGGCCGGGGGUUCAAUCAAGUACCGGGUUUACCGGUUCGUUUGAAAAUCCCCCCAUGUCCACCA
rnacentral:tRNA from 1 species